AAAGAAUAAGCCAUGCAUGUCUAAGUAUAAGCAAUCUAUACGGUGAAACUGCGAAUGGCUCAUUAAAUCAGUUAUCGUUUAUUUGAUAGUACCUAACCUACUUGGAUAACCGUGGUAAUUCUAGAGCUAAUACAUGCUAAAAACCUCGACUUCGGAAGGGGUGUAUUUAUUAGAUAAAAAACCAAUGCCCUUCGGGGCUCCUUGGUGAUUCAUAAUAACUCAACGAAUCGCAUGGCCUUGCGCCGGCGAUGGUUCAUUCAAAUUUCUGCCCUAUCAACUUUCGAUGGUAGGAUAGUGGCCUACCAUGGUGUUAACGGGUAACGGGGAAUUAGGGUUCUAUUCCGGAGAGGGAGCCUGAGAAACGGCUACCACAUCCAAGGAAGGCAGCAGGCGCGCAAAUUACCCAAUCCCGACACGGGGAGGUAGUGACAAUAAAUACUGAUACAGGGCCCUUUCGGGUCUUGUAAUUGGAAUGAGUACAAUUAAAUCCUCUAACGGGAUCAAGGGG
rnacentral:rRNA from 1 species